AGCGAACGCUGGCGGCAGGCCUAACACAUGCAAGUCGAGCGGCCAUCCUUGUGGUGUCUGCUUCAGACGGGCGAGGAACGCGGGGGAGCGUUUCCUUCGGGUCGGACUUACUAUGGGCACAUUGAGCCAAUACCGCUUACGUGCGAGCGCAGAAAGUUUUAUCUGCCUAAGGAUCGGCCCGCGUCCGAUUAGCUAGGUGGCGAGGUUAUGGAUCACCUAGGCGACGGUCAGUAGCUGGUCUGCGGGAAUGAUCCGCCACACUGGGACUGAGACCCGGCCCAGACUCCUGCGCGAGGCAGCAGUGGGGAAUCUUGGACGCUGGGGGAAACCCUGAUCCAGCCAUGCUGCGUGAGUUAUGUGGGGCUUCGGGUUGUAAUGCUCUUUUCAUCGGGACGAUAAUGGCGGUACCGGAGCAGUAAGCCCCGGCUAUCUUCGUG
rnacentral:rRNA from 1 species